rnacentral:rRNA from 1 species
UACAGAGGUCUCAAGCGUUGUUCGGAUUCAUUGGGCGUAAAGGGUGCGUAGGCGGCGUGGUAAGUCGGAUGUGAAAUCUCGGAGCUUAACUCCGAAACUGCAUUCGAUACUGCCGUGCUUGAGGACUGGAGAGGAGACUGGAAUUUACGGUGUAGCGGUGAAAUGCGUAGAUAUCGUAAGGAAGACCAGUGGCGAAGGCGGGGCUCUGGACAGUUCCUGACGCUGAGGCACGAAGGCCAGGGGAGCAAACGGG